UGCCCUCUUCUGGUGUGUGUCUGAAGACAGUGACAGUGUGCUCAUACAUAAAUUAGAAGUUUCUAGCAAUUUUGUCCCAGAGGUAGGGUCAUAGACUCAUUCUUGGCAUAGAUUUAGAAUGGGGCCUUUUACCCUUUUAUUACACAAAUACAAGGAGGCAGGCAUGUUGGUUGAAUUUAUUAAACAUGCCAGUUUGUCUUUUAAACACAUUUUGGGGGUUAUUGGCCUUAAGUAUCUUUAAUUAUGUGACUGUCUUAAGCAGAGUCAAUGAGCAUUUUAGACGUUUUCCUUGAAUACAUUCGGUUAAUACCAUUUUCCAGAAUUAUCCAUGCAGUUACCAUUGUCCCUCCUACAAUUUAGAGUUUCUCCUUCUGUUACGGAUUUCCUUUGGCUUUCCACUGUGCUUAGUAUCGUCUAACACGUGAUCAUACACUGUACAGUUCACAUAAGUGCUACCCGGUGAGCCAAGGGUCAGCGUCAUUCUCCCGUGUUUCUCAAGUGCUUACAGAGAGCUGGCUUGUAGAAGCCGCUAGUAGUGUUGAAUAAAUGGUUAACUGAUCUUUGUCUUAAAAGAACAAACACUCCUACAUUUGUGCAUAUUUUGCAGGUCAUGAUUAUUUUAAAUAUUUUAUUAUAGAAGUCAGUUUUUCCUGUCCCUAAUAUUUCGGUAUUUACAUAUUAUAUUUCAAAUAUCAUCAAAUGGCCUCUUCACCGACUUUGCUGAGGACUUUUACUUUAAAACCCACAAAAAUUUAAGGUGAUUUGAAUAGCUUUGGACAGUUUUUUUUUUGGUGGCAUUUUGAUCUGUAGGUUUUGUUUUAUCUUCCUAACAAUGUUUUAACAGUGAGUUUUCUUUUGUCUUCGUAAUGUUUAAGAAAUGUUCCUUCAUCCCAUCUGUAUCUCUCUCAGUUCUGUGCUGCCGUGGGAGUUGGGUCAGAACAUUUAUUGGAGACCUCAGGGGUGUACUAGUGCCCUGCCUCGUGUGGACUGCUGACCCUUGGAGGGCAGGGAUAAAGGAGAACGUGGGAGGACUGAGGACAGGUAGAUUAAAGGUUCUAUUGGCAAAUGAAAAAUUCUACGAUGACAGCUGUAACGUUCAAAGGCAAGGCAAUGGAAAGGCCCGUGCUCCCACAGGCAGCAUAUGGACCCAUCUGACAUGCUCCUGGUUCUCAUAGCAGGGUAAAUGUUUGCACACUGAUGAGGACAUUGCUCCUGGCUGGGAAGAAUUUGUGUCAUGGCUCUGAAGCAAUGAUGGGCUGGUAAAGGUUUAAGGAUUUGUGUCCAUCAGGAAAACAAAACAAAAAACAAACCAAACCAAAAACCAAAACAAACCCCCUUUUGUUUGUAAGUUCAGACCGCAGCUGAUCUUAAGGAGUGGGGACCUGACUCUCCCCAGUCCUCUAGCCAGUGCUUCCUGGGGCAUGAGGUGGAGGGAAGGCCUGGUUUCAGAGGCCAGAGCUUGCUUUUAAUAAUCUCUCCAAAAUACAGAUGUUGGUGUGGGGAGUUCUGGAGCGGACCCCUUGUGAGCAUGUUAGGACCCAGCAAACCGGAAUGCCUUCUCAGCUUCCUGAAGAACAAGGCAGGUGGAUGAAGAGGGGUUGCCCCUGACAGCCCUGCUCCUGACCUUGCUCAAGGAAGACCUUCAAUACCCACCUCCAUCUGACUGAGUUCUGUUAAGGAAGAUAACACUCACAUCUUUGGCUCUCUUCACGAGUGGAGUAAGCCUUCCAUUCUUCAAAGGGAGAACUCCCAGAAGCCAGCAGUGCCCUUGACAAAACCAGCUCAAACUCAAGCUGACAAGCACUUGACUGGGACCAUCACAUCAUUCUUCAGUGACAGGGUCCUGAGCAAGAGGGGCCGGGGAUCAGAGGUAAAGAAGAUAAAACAGAGUAAUGCAUUUGAUUUUGAUGAGGCCCAAUGAAAUACACAGGAGCAAACAAGGUCUUUGGGAAAACGAACUCAGAAUAGCUACUUCCAGCUCGUAUCCAAAGGGGAUAGAAUCAAGAAGAAAAGAGUCCGUGGCAUGCUCAGAAAUUUACUGGAAAGAGUCAAGCUGAGAAAACCAUUCAACUGCAAAGACACACUACCUUACCUGGGUGAGGAAGGAUAACUUGGAGAGGAACUGAGAUCCCAAAUUACAGAGCCAGGAACCAUGGAGGAUCCAAGGGACUUCCAACGUUCAGAAGAUGGCUUUCUCAAAUCAAGAAGACCCUCACCAGAACCUGCUGGUAGCCAAUGAGAGUUUCUAGGCUCUGAAACUGUAUUGUUGUGCUCGGAAUGCUGCAGCCUCCAUCUUGAGACUCCACCCAACACCAAUACAGGCAAGAGGAGCAGAGGGUGUCCAACUCCUACACAUGGGCCGCUAAACUUCCCCCAGCCAACCAAAAAGCUGGUUUUUAGUUAAAAAUACUGUCUGCUGAUAAAAGAAAUAAGGAUGAGUGUAUCAUUCAACCCUCAUUGGAGAAGCUUCCUCCUGCAGUAGAUGGGAAUUAGCAGAGACCAACAACUGGACAUAAGUAAUGAGUGAGAGACUUGGAGGCCCUCAGUCCCACAUGGGAGGUCUUCGUCAAAUUCCUUCCCUGAAGGCUUAGGGAGCUAUGUAGAUGAGGAGACAGAAAGAUCGUAAGAGCCAGAGAUGGCGGGUGAUUCCAAGGAACAAUGUCUUCCAGACACAACAGGACUGAUCUACAUGUAAGUUCACAGAGACUGUGAAGCCCACAAAACCUGCACAAGUUCAAACAAGACAAAAUCCCAGCACCGAGAAGGGGAAAUGGACCCAGGUAGAGUCCUAGCCCUAACUAAAGAGCUAUUUGCAAGUGAUGUUUACUGGGAAAGGGAAAAUCCAUUUUCUCUCGUGGAGUGUCACUGGGCAUAUCAGUCA
rnacentral:sRNA from 1 species